AGAAUCUAUUUCCUGUUUUUGUUUUUUGGCGGUGGAGAGCUACGCUAUUUUGAAAAGCUAGAAAACAAACGAACAAUUGUUAUGGCAGAAACACCAAAUGAAUUCAAGUUAAAGAAUGCCCCUGAAGAUGGAAUUUCUGCUGUCAAAUUUGGAACAACCAAUCAGUUUCUACUGGCCUCUUCUUGGGAUCAGACGGUCAGAUUGUACGAUGUUAUUUCCAACAACCUGAGGAUUAAAUAUAGUCAUUCAGAACCUGUAUUAGAUUGCUGCUUUUAUGAUGCAGUACAUUCAUACAGUGGAGGAUUAGACUGUACACUCAAAAUGUUUGACUUUAACACCAGCACAGAACAGAAUGUAGGUCAACAUGACGACCCAAUUCGUUGUGUCGAGUACUGCCCAGAGGUCAAUGUCAUCAUUACAGGGAGCUGGGACUCCACAGUCAAACUGUGGGACCCCAGGGCGCCAUGUGCUGCGGGGUCCUUCAGUCAGCCGGACAAGGUGUACACGAUGUCUGUGUGUGGGGACAGGCUGGUGGUGGGGACUGCCGGGCGGAGGAUCCUGGUCUGGGACCUGAGGAACAUGGGAUACGUCCAACAGAGGCGGGAGUCCAGUCUCAAGUACCAGACACGCUGUAUCCGAUGCUUCCCCAACAAACAGGGAUACGUACUCAGCUCCAUUGAGGGUAAAUAAAGUUAUACAUUUUCAUUGGUUAGAUGUACGUGUAAAUGAGAAGAUGAAUUUGAUGUGUAAAUAUGUAUUCAUGACUUAAAAUCAGUUUAUUUUAGGAACAACAGUUGUCUUAUUUUAUGAACUGUCUUCAUUCAGUUAUUUGUUUUAAUGUGAUUAUAACCAAGCAUAUAACAACUUCUUUUUGGAUACCUUUUAUACCUGCAGAAAAUGGAGUUUAUAUUAUGAUAAUAUUGAUCUUAUUCCUUCUCCAACUGCUAAAUAUUGAUUUUUAUGUAAAAAAAAUAAUUUCAGGACUCUGAGAUCCCUGGUUUUAUAUUCGAAAUUUUAUUAUAAAGAACUUAAAAACAAUGUAAAAUUUUGAAUGCAUGUACAAGGAUCUUGUAAUGCUUUUAGGAAGAGUAGCUGUAGAAUAUCUUGAUCCAAGCCCAGAGGUACAGAAAAGGAAGUAUGCAUUCAAGUGUCAUCGAAUCAAAGAGAAUGGCGUGGAGAAAAUAUAUCCUGUGAAUGCCAUUGCCUUCCACACACAUCACAACACGUUCGCCUCGGGGGGCUCCGAUGGAUUCGUCAACAUCUGGGACGGGUUUAACAAGAAAAGAUUGUGCCAGUUUCACAGGUAUCCCGCUGGAAUUGCGUCCCUUGCAUUUAGUCCGGAUGGUGCAGUACUAGCCAUUGCUUCCUCCUACAUGUAUGAAAACGACGAGCCUAUAGAACCAGUGGAAGACGUGAUCUACAUCAGAAACGUCAGCGAUCAGGAAACAAAACCAAAAUCGUGACACUUUGUUAACGAUAAUGAUGAAUUGUGUUCGGGUACACAAGAUUUCCAGAAAUACUGCCAUCGUAGACCUACAGACCUCAUUGUUGACCUUAGAGUCGUAACUUAUGUUGUCCGUCAAUGUCACGUUAUAUAGAAAAUAUGGUCCAACUUUUGUUCGAUUUUGGGGGUUCGCUUUUUAUUAAGAAAAACUGCUUUAUUUUUACCAUGAGGAAUUUUUAUUCUGUGUAAAUAGCAUAAUUCAGUGACUCUUUAGGAAUGGAUUUUUACAGUUGUCCAACUUCUGCAUCUUGAAUUCACUGAAUAUUGGAAAUGAAUUAUUACAUUUAUCUAUAAGUGUGCUCCAUGUGUACAGUACUUUUCUCUUUUAGAUUAGAUGUCAUCCCUUUCAUAUUUAUCUUUCAUCAUGAAGAUGCAGUUUGACUUGAUGAUUGUGUUACGUAAUUGCAAAGAAUUGUUGUUUUUUUUUAUCAAUAGCUCCAGCAUUGUAUCGUAGGGAUGUGUACUUGUUCUAUAUGACAUCAUCAGUUUCAGUAUGACUGACACACAGAGAAUUCAUUGAUUGACAGGAACCAAAUUAUUAAUAACUUGUACAUAGAGGUUUCAAUGUGGAAUAAAAUUGUGAAUUGUU
rnacentral:misc_RNA from 1 species